CUCAGACUGAAUUACCCCACCAGCUUUCUUGAUUUUCCAGCUUGCAGGUGGCAGAUAAUGAGACUUCUCAGCCUCCAUAAUCAUAAUACCACUGGAAGGUCCAAGAUCCAGGGGCCCACAUCUGCUAAGGGCUUUCAUGCCGUGUCAUCCCAUGAGGAAAGACAGAGGCAAGGAGAGUCAGAUCCAGAGAAAAGUGACACAUCUAGAUACAAAUUCUAGGAUCUUCCCGCCUUUCAGUAUCAUCACUGCUUUUCCACUUUGAC
rnacentral:lncRNA from 1 species